rnacentral:rRNA from 1 species
UACGUAGGGGGCAAGCGUUGUCCGGAUUUAUUGGGCGUAAAGAGCGUGUAGGCGGCCGUACAGGUCAGCUGUGAAAACUCGAGGCUCAACCUCGAGACGUCGGUUGAAACCGUACGGCUAGAGUCCGGAAGAGGAGAGUGGAAUUCCCGGUGUAGCGGUGGAAUGCGCAGAUAUCGGGAAGAACACCCGUGGCGAAGGCGGCUCUCUGGGACGGUACUGACGCUGAGACGCGAAAGCGUGGGGAGCGAACAGG